GAAGGUUCCCUGUAAGAGGUACCCAGUA
rnacentral:piRNA from 1 species